rnacentral:rRNA from 1 species
GGGGAAUAUUGCACAAUGGGCGCAAGCCGGAUGCAGCAACGCCGCGUGAGUGAUGAAGGCCUUCGGGUUGUAAAACUCUGUCCUAUGGGAAGAAUAAAAUGACGGUACCAUAGGAGGAAGCCCCGGCUAACUACGUGCCAGCAGCCGCGGUAAUACGUAGGGGGCAAGCGUUAUCCGGAAUCACUGGGCGGAAAGGGUGCGUAGGUGGCUUAUCAAGCCAGAGGUGAAAGGCAUUGGCUCAACCAAUGUAAGCCUUUGGAACUGAUUAGCUUGAGUGCAGGAGAGGUAAGUGGAAUUCCUAGUGUAGAGGUGAAAUUCGUAGAUAUUAGGAGGAACACCAGUGGCGAAGGCGACUUACUGGACUGUAACUGACACUGAGGCACGAAAGCGUGGGUAGCGAAC